CACUGCAAUUUGCUUUCUUGGAAGAAGCCAAUCACUAAUCUUUUAUAAGUUAUAACAUAUUUGUGAAAGUGCAAAACUAGGGAACAAGUUUUAUCAGCAGUUUCCCUAAUUUGUGGUAAUUUGUCAGCUCAAAAAGCUACCCUGGGUGGAUCCAUUUCCUUAUCUGACUUUGGCAUUUUGAGUCGUGAACAUAGGUUUUUGAAGUAACCUGUCAUUUCUGAUCA